GCGCGAAACCUCUGCAAUAGGCGAAAGCUUGACAGGGUUACUCUGAGUGAUUUCCGUUAAGGAGAUCUUUUGGCACCUCUAAAAAUGGUGCAGAAUAAGGGGUGGGCAAGUCUGGUGUCAGCCGCCGCGGUAAUACCAGCACCCCGAGUGGUCGGGACGUUUAUUGGGCCUAAAGCAUCCGUAGCCGGUUCUACAAGUCUUCCGUUAAAUCCACCUGCUUAACAGAUGGGCUGCGGAAGAUACUAUAGAGCUAGGAGGCGGGAGAGGCAAGCGGUACUCGAUGGGUAGGGGUAAAAUCCGUUGAUCCAUUGAAGACCACCAGUGGCGAAGGCGGCUUGCCAGAACGCGCUCGACGGUGAGGGAUGAAAGCUGGGGGAGCAAACCGGAUUAGAUACCCGGGUAGUCCCAGCUGUAAACGAUGCAGACUCGGUGAUGAAUUGGCUUAUUGCUAANUCAGUGCCGCAGGGAAGCCGUUAAGUUGCCG
rnacentral:rRNA from 1 species